GCCCUGCUAACUCAGUCGGUAGAGCAUGAGACUUCAUCUCAGGGUCGUGGGUUCGAACCCCAUGUUGGGCA